GCGAAGGCACCGGCGGCGAUCGACCCGGCGCUGCUCGAUGACAUCAUCAGCCGCUUGCUGGAGGUCCGAUCGGCGCGGCCGGGGAAGCAGGUGCAGCUCUCCGAGGCCGAGAUCCGCCAGCUCUGCCUCGUAUCCCGCGACAUCUUUCUCCAGCAGCCAUGCCUCCUCGAGCUGGAAGCCCCAAUCAAGAUCUGCGGUGACAUUCAUGGCCAGUAUAGUGAUCUUCUAAGACUUUUUGAAUAUGGAGGUUUUCCGCCGGAUGCCAAUUAUUUAUUUUUAGGUGAU
rnacentral:misc_RNA from 1 species